GAAAACGCAGCCCCAGACCACCACAUGUAAGAGGCUGUGCGUGUGUGUUUACAGGAAAUAUCAUGUGAAGGACAUCAGCCUACACACUCUCUGUCUUGGUCUUGCAACCUUGACACCUUGGAUGUCAUGCGUCAUGUACAUUUCAUAUCUUUGGAUAUUUUUUGGUGCUUUGUUGUCUUCAAACGCUCAGUACCACGGGAAUACAAGAUGCACAGAGGUCACUGUGAACGCUUCUCUGAAAUCUGAAGUCUUUCUCCCAUGUCACUUUAAUAUAAGCCAUCACAAUGAAACCGAGAGUGUGAAUUGGAACCACUAUUCCAGUCUCGUAACGAUCAGGAUUAAUGGCAGAAUCUUCUUUCACAGUCCUAGUGAAGGACGAGUGAAUGUUUUUCCACUUCUAUCUAAACAUGGAAACUUCUCCAUCCUCAUCCAUGAUCUGCAGUCUUCAGACAUUGGCACCUACACAUGUCGGUUGAACAGUGAAUGCUGGAUGGUGAAGAUCAAUGAACGUCCGCACAGUAAGAUCAGGGGUCUUAUUGUCACAACUGCACUAGCAUACAUUCAGACAAAUGUAUAAAAUAUAUUUUACAAAUCAAUGGUUUAAAUAUUUUGUUACAUUUAACAUUCUCGCGGCUUCAUGACUUUUGACAACUGUUGCAUUUUUUUCCGCAGAAAUAUGCAAGCAUGUUCCAUGCGACAACUUAACCUAUGUAGUGUGACAGCAUGCCAGGCAGUAACUUUGGAGAUGUUCAAAAGCACUUUUGUAUAGUAUUUCUAGCGCGUGUGCAGAAAUAAUCUACAAUAACAUUUGUAUAUAGACACUUUGCAGAUGGUUAUUGGUCAAAACUGUGUGAUUCCGAAACUAUUACAUUAUAACUGUAUUUUUUUUGUUUGUAGGAAUCAAUGAGUCAAACCCCUGGUUCUACUUCGCAGCUGGAGCUGGAUUGCUUAUUCUCCUUUUUAUUGCAUUCAGCCUGUUUUCAAAAUUCUAUGGUGAGCAUUGUUUCCUUACAUUAUU
rnacentral:lncRNA from 1 species